GAGCUUGGAAAAAAGCACCAGUUAAAAAAUGUUGGAUCCCAAUCGGAAACCCGUGUGGCGCAUAAGAAGAUUGAACGCGACGUCAACAGUUCACCUUAAUCCUUCCUUCCUUCCUCUUUCGUUUUAAAAUGCUGCACAUUUCUGACUAAUCAGUAAACAAGAAAAAAAUCGAACAAGAAGACCAGUAUAUCUCUGCCAGUAAUUCUCCUAACUACUGCUCUACUGGUCGGUUUUUGGCGAUGUUUUGGUCACGUGAUGACGGGAAUCUCCCGCCUAGGGAACCUGGACGUCUGCUCGUGGGAAACGUAGACAUCAAACCAGAAGCUCCUAUAUUCCUCGACCUACAGAAGAAACAUGGCGAUCUGAUAACACUGAAGGUCUUUGGUCAGACUAUCAUUGUCGUCUGUGGUUAUGACACAAUCAAAG